rnacentral:rRNA from 1 species
GACGAACGCUGGCGGCGUACCUAAUACAUGCAAGUAGAACGCUGAAGAGAGGAGCUUGCUCUUCUUGGAUGAGUUGCGAACGGGUGAGUAACGCGUAGGUAACCUGCCUUGUAGCGGGGGAUAACUAUUGGAAACGAUAGCUAAUACCGCAUAACAAUGGAUGACACAUGUCAUUUAUUUGAAAGGGGCAAUUGCUCCACUACAAGAUGGACCUGCGUUGUAUUAGCUAGUAGGUGAGGUAAUGGCUCACCUAGGCGACGAUACAUAGCCGACCUGAGAGGGUGAUCGGCCACACUGGGACUGAGACACGGCCCAGACUCCUACGGGAGGCAGCAGUAGGGAAUCUUCGGCAAUGGGGGCAACCCUGACCGAGCAACGCCGCGUGAGUGAAGAAGGUUUUCGGAUCGUAAAGCUCUGUUGUAAGUCAAGAACGGGUGUGAGAGUGGAAAGUUCACACUGUGACGGUAGCUUACCAGAAAGGGACGGCUAACUACGUGCCAGCAGCCGCGGUAAUACGUAGGUCCCGAGCGUUGUCCGGAUUUAUUGGGCGUAAAGCGAGCGCAGGCGGUUUGAUAAGUCUGAAGUUAAAGGCUGUGGCUCAACCAUAGUUCGCUUUGGAAACUGUCAAACUUGAGUGCAGAAGGGGAGAGUGGAAUUCCAUGUGUAGCGGUGAAAUGCGUAGAUAUAUGGAGGAACACCGGUGGCGAAAGCGGCUCUCUGGUCUGUAACUGACGCUGAGGCUCGAAAGCGUGGGGAGCGAACAGGAUUAGAUACCCUGGUAGUCCACGCCGUAAACGAUGAGUGCUAGGUGUUGGAUCCUUCCCGGGAUUCAGUGCCGCAGCUAACGCAUUAAGCACUCCGCCUGGGGAGUACGACCGCAAGGUUGAAACUCAAAGGAAUUGACGGGGGCCCGCACAAGCGGUGGAGCAUGUGGUUUAAUUCGAAGCAACGCGAAGAACCUUACCAGGUCUUGACAUCCCGAUGCUAUUUCUAGAGAUAGAAAGUUACUUCGGUACAUCGGUGACAGGUGGUGCAUGGUUGUCGUCAGCUCGUGUCGUGAGAUGUUGGGUUAAGUCCCGCAACGAGCGCAACCCCUAUUGUUAGUUGCCAUCAUUCAGUUGGGCACUCUAGCGAGACUGCCGGUAAUAAACCGGAGGAAGGUGGGGAUGACGUCAAAUCAUCAUGCCCCUUAUGACCUGGGCUACACACGUGCUACAAUGGUUGGUACAACGAGUUGCGAGUCGGUGACGGCGAGCUAAUCUCUUAAAGCCAAUCUCAGUUCGGAUUGUAGGCUGCAACUCGCCUACAUGAAGUCGGAAUCGCUAGUAAUCGCGGAUCAGCACGCCGCGGUGAAUACGUUCCCGGGCCU